rnacentral:rRNA from 1 species
UGCUAUGGCCAUGCCACCCUGAAUGUCCCCGAUCCCGUCUGAUCUUGGAAGCUAAGUAGGGUCGGGCCUGAUUAGUACUUGGAUGGGAGACCACCUAGGAAUUAAAGGUGCUGUAGAUA